UCCUGCCUGACUGCUGGAAAAUAAUCAUCCUUUACGUCCCGAGUAAUGAGGCCGCAGCUCGGCAAGAGUCAGAGUCACCAAAGAACACAAAUUGCAUUCAGUGGGAUUUCAGAUGUGACAGCUGCUUUGUGCUUGGCAUGGCAGACCAAGGACUGGAUGUAAUCAGAGGCCAGCAGAGGACACCCCGGCUGCAAGGACGUCAUGACCAAGCCAACUUACAGAGGCUUACAGUGUCAGAGGGUCAGAGUUCAUGACGGUGAAGCCAAGGCAUGGUGGCAGGAACAGCUGAGGGCUCACAUCUUGUUCCACAAACAGAAAACAGAGAAAGACACACUGGGAAUGGCAAGUCUUUUGAACCGUCAAAGUCUGUCCCCAGUGACACACCUCUUUCAAUAAGGCCACACCUCCUAAUCCUUCCCAAACAAUUCCAGGAACUGGAGACCAAGAUUCAAACAUACGGCUCUAGGUACAGGGCUAAGAUCUCAGCAUCCAUGAACUCACUCAAGCCAUGAUUGUCUCUAGGCCUUCUACCGGGAUGAUGGAAGUACUGCUGUGAGUGAGGAUGAACCUGGCUUUGGGAAAGUCUCUGGCCACAGUGUACACCAUGGUCAUAUUCAUCAUGAUUGUGGAAUGGAAGACCACAGGAUGUUAAAUGAUAGACUGUAGCAUCUAAACAUCUUGUUCUCAAAGCAUGACUCAUGUUACAAUGUAGCAGAAGGCUAUUUUAAUACACUAGUGAAUGUCAUU